rnacentral:rRNA from 1 species
AUCAAUAAGCGGAGGAAAAGAAACCAACAGGGAUUGCCCCAGUAACGGCGAGUGAAGCGGCAACAGCUCAAAUUUGAAAUCUGGCUUCGGCCCGAGUUGUAAUUUGUAGAGGAUGCUUUUGGUGCGGUGCCUUCUGAGUUCCCUGGAACGGGACGCCAGAGAGGGUGAGAGCCCCGUAUAGUUGGACACCAAGCCUUUGUAAAGCUCCUUCGACGAGUCGAGUAGUUUGGGAAUGCUGCUCAAAAUGGGAGGUAUAUCUCUUCUAAAGCUAAAUAUUGGCCAGAGACCGAUAGCGCACAAGUAGAGUGAUCGAAAGAUGAAAAGCACUUUGAAAAGAGAGUUAAAAGGGCUUGAAAUUGUUGAGGGGGAAGGAAAUGGUUGUCGGUGUGCACUUUGGUUUUAUGUUUAGUUAACGCUAAGCCUAUCAACGCAUUGUGCUGGUCAGCGUGGGUUGGACGGGCGGUAUAACCUUGUACUGCCGCCUGUCCGACCGAGGUCGGAGGUAACGCUCGAGACGCUGGCGGAAGAUAACCAUUUCACCCGUCUUGUAACACGGACCAAG